rnacentral:lncRNA from 1 species
GUUUGUCAGUCUGGGUGCAGGUAAAACAGCUGUGCAAAGGUAAGGCUGAACAGCAGCACAGCUGUUAACACAGCAAAUGUGUAAUUACCAGAGACCAGCCUGUUAGGGUGGAUAAAUUACAGAGCAAAGUCAGCAUCUAUUGACGCUCAGAGGAAUUUGGAGGACCGGGGCUUUUUAAAUAUUGAUUCCUCCACAGCUACAGGAUAGCUGGCUCCAGGUAUUAAAAAGCCCUGAGUCAGAUCCAAAAAGCCAUGAAAUUGCUUUCCAUUGUGAAAUUUAAAAAGUUGCUAGUAACUUUGCAUUCUGGUUUUAUUUGCUUUCUGGGCCGUGAGCCUCCUCCAUGCGCUUGGUUUGGGUUUUUAAGCCUUUUGCAGCAGCACUUUGGCUCUGAGCUGGCCAGGAUGCCUGCUGCUCCUGGGUGCCACUGGCCAGAUGACCACAUGCCUGCAGGUGCCAGAUACCCAAGCAGACAUUGGCAAGAGCCUCUGGUUUGGCUGUGGGUGCUGUAUUUGGAGUUCUUUUAUGACCUUUGUAAUGUGUUUCCAGUGGUAAAACUGAAAAAUGGCCUUGCUGGUAACUGAGGGGGCGUCAUGACGAUUUGAGGUGUGUUUUAGACUUCAUGUUUUUACAGACUAUCUCUGUGAAAUUCACUCUUACUUUGAUUGGAGAUGCUCUUAGAAUAACUUGUAUACUAAAAGCUUUGGAAGACUAGCAAAUCCUCAAAGGUUUUUUUCUGACCAAGAUCCAGGCAUGAACAAUUUAAUGUUGUUGAUCGUGCACUGGAACAGGUUGCCCAAGGAGGCUGUGGAUGCCCCAUCCCUGCAGGCAUUCAAGGCCAGGCUGGAUGUGGCUCUGGGCAGCCUGGGCUGCUGGUUGGCGACCCUGCACAUAGCAGGGGGUUGGAACUGGAUGAGCACUGUGGUCCUUUUCAACCCAGGCCAUUCUAGGAUUGUGUGAUUGAUUCUAUGAUUCUUGAAUGUGAGAGCUUCAUCUCUGGAAAGAAAUAAGUUGCCAAUAUGCAGGCAGAGGCGGCUGCAGUGCCGGAGUAAUAGGCGUUAAAAUGCAUUUCAGGUCUCCAACGUGUGCAGCAGGCAUC